rnacentral:rRNA from 1 species
UACGGAGGAGGCAAGCGUUGUUCGGAAUCACUGGGCGUAAAGCGCACGCAGGCGGAUCGUUAAGUCAGGGGUGAAAUGCCGAGGCUCAACCUCGGAACUGCCUUUGAUACUGGCGAUCUUAGAGUCCGGGAGAGGUGAGUGGAACUCCGAGUGUAGAGGUGAAAUUCGUAGAUAUUCGGAAGAACACCAGUGGCGAAGGCGGCUCACUGGCCCGGUACUGACGCUCAGGUGCGAAAGCGUGGGGAGCAAACAGG